rnacentral:rRNA from 1 species
AUUGAACGCUGGCGGCAUGCCUUACACAUGCAAGUCGAACGGCAGCGGGGACUUCGGUCCGCCGGCGAGUGGCGAACGGGUGGGUAAUGUAUCGGAACGUACCAUUCAGUGGGGGAUAACUAUCCGAAAGGAUAGCUAAUACCGCAUAUUCUGUGAGCAGGAAAGCAGGGGAUCGCAAGACCUUGCGCUGAUUGAGCGGCCGAUAUCAGAUUAGCUAGUUGGUGAGGUAACGGCUCACCAAGGCUACGAUCUGUAGCGGGUCUGAGAGGAUGAUCCGCCACACUGGGACUAAGACACGGCCCAGACUCCGACGGGAGGCAGCAGUGGGGAAUUUUGGACAAUGGGCGCAAGCCUGAUCCAGCCAUGCCGCGUGAGUGAAGAAGGCCUUCGGGUUAUAAAGCUCUUUCGGCCGGGAAGAAAUCGCAUCAGCUAAUACCUGGUGUGGAUGACGGUACCGGAAUAAGAAGCACCGGCUAACUACGUGCCAGCCGCCGCGGUAAUAC